CUGACAUCAAAAUACUAUUGGCCAGGGAUGACAAAAGACAUUGCCAAUUGGGUUGCACAGUGUCUGACUUGCCAGAAAGAGGGAAAGCAAUCAAAUCUGGAUACCACCUUGAAAAGCAUAAAGGUCACUCGGAUCUGGGA